CCUACGGGAGGCUGCAGUGGGGAAUAUUGCACAAUGGGCGCAAGCCUGAUGCAGCCAUGCCGCGUGUGUGAAGAAGGCCUUCGGGUUGUAAAGCACUUUCAGCGGGGAGGAAGGCGUUAAGGUUAAUAACCUUGGCGAUUGACGUUACCCGCAGAAGAAGCACCGGCUAACUCCGUGCCAGCAGCCGCGGUAAUACGGAGGGUGCAAGCGUUAAUCGGAAUUACUGGGCGUAAAGCGCACGCAGGCGGUCUGUCAAGUCGGAUGUGAAAUCCCCGGGCUCAACCUGGGAACUGCAUUCGAAACUGGCAGGCUAGAGUCUUGUAGAGGGGGGUAGAAUUCCAGGUGUAGCGGUGAAAUGCGUAGAGAUCUGGAGGAAUACCGGUGGCGAAGGCGGCCCCCUGGGCAAAGACUGACGCUCAGGUGCGAAAGCGUGGGGAGCAAACAGGAUUAGAUACCCCAGUAGUC
rnacentral:rRNA from 1 species